GGGAAAGUAGCUCAAUGGUAGAGUGCUUGCCUUGUAUGCAUGAGGGCCUGGGUUCAUUUUCUCA
rnacentral:tRNA from 1 species